AUUGAACGCUGGCGGCAGGCCUAACACAUGCAAGUCGAACGAGUGGCGGACGGGUGAGUAAUGUCUGGGAAACUGCCUGAUGGAGGGGGAUAACUACUGGAAACGGUAGCUAAUACCGCAUACUCUCAUAUGUGCCCAGAUGGGAUUAGCUAGUUGGUGGGGUAACGGCUCACCAGUGCGACGAUCCCUAGCUGGUCUGAGAGGAGGACCAGCCACACUGGAACUGAGACACGGUCCAGACUCCUACGGGAGGCAGCAGUGGGGAAUAUUGCACAAGGGGCGCAAGCCUGAUGCAGCCAUGCCGCGUGGAUGAAGAAGGCCUUCGGGUUGUAAAGUACUUUCAGCGGGGAGGCGUUACCCGCAGAAGAAGCACCGGCUAACUCCGUGCCAGCCGCCGCGGUAAUUC
rnacentral:rRNA from 1 species